rnacentral:rRNA from 1 species
AACGAACGUUAGCGGUGUGGAUUAGGCAUGCAAGUCGAGCGCGAAAGUCCGCAAGGAUGGGUAAAGCGGCGAAAGGGUGAGUAAUACGUAACCAACCUGCCCCUGAGAUCGGAAUAACUGGUGGAAACGCUGGCUAAAGCCGGAUGGCCCUCUUGGAAGGCAUCUUUCGGGUGGUAAACGGUGGCGCAAGCUGCUGCUCGGGGAGGGGUUAUGGGCUAUCAGCUAGUUGGUGGGGUAACGGCCUACCAAGGCGAUGACGGCUAGCCGGUCUGAGAGGAUGGUCGGCCACAUUGGGACUGAGACACUGCCCAAACUCCUACGGGAGGCUGCAGUCGAGGAUCUUCCGCAAUGGGCGAAAGCCUGACGGAGCGACACCGCGUACAGGAUGAAGGCCUGG